GCAGGGAGAAAGAAGGGCGGGGAUCCGGACCAACAAACAAGCGACAGAAUCCCCACUCUGCAGCAUCUGGGGUCAUCUUUGGUUCCUCACAUCUGUCUGGAUGCAGCCCUCCUCCUCCACACCUUUCCCUGUAGUCACCUGUGCUUACUAUCAUGAACUCGGGCGCAUACCUCCACACCUCCACCCACACCCACACCCACACCCACUCUCGCUCUAGCUCUCCCUCUAGCUCUCGCUCUAGCUGUAGCUCUCGCUCUCUUCCCCCCCCCCCCGCCCCUACACUCACAGGCCCGUGCAAACAGGCACACGGGCAGGCGGACGGGCAUACGUGCAUACACAGCUUUAUUCAGGUAGACCGGUCUGGGCAGGCCCCCUCACUGACGGCCCCGACACAGCCAGUCUCUGUGCAAAGGAGGCUCAGUGGGCCCGACAGACGCCCUUCCUUGUUGUUCCCCUUUCCUUCCUCCCUGCCCCUUUCUGUUUGGCCUCCCACUCCUGAGUUGGGCCCUAGAGCAUGGCAAAACAGGCCUCUCUCUGGACAGGGCUCAACCCCUCGCCUAAGUGGCUGAGACUUUGCCUUGGCUGAUGGCUCUUCCCCUAGGAAGCCACGGCUGGCUGGCUCCACAGGUCCAGCUGGGGCGCAGUGCCUUUUGAGGUCACAUUCGUUCUUCUCCUGCACUAGGGUUCCUCCUUUGCUCUCUCUCCGCUUUUGACUCCUUACUUUCGCGUCUUUACUGGCAUUCUUCCUCUGCGCGUGUCCCCACGUUAACCUUUACUGGUGCUAUGGAAGUGAACGUGGCCCCCGUGGAUUGGGGGAGCAAGGGGCAUCGCCUUACGACCAUCCCUUGACCGUCCCUUUAUUGCCGUGGGAGAGAGUAAGUAACUCAUCCCUCUCCUCACUCGGGUCCCCGACCUCCCGCUUUUUAAACCCACCCCAGUGUUUCCCCGGGGUGUCCUCCGACCCGACCCUCUCUUUGCCCUGGGUGCAUGCCCCGGGCUCUUUGGCUCUUUUGGCCCUAUGGCGCGUGCCCGCUCCAUAUUCAGGGUGUGGUUGGGCCUCUCCUUUGGCCCUCUCUGUGCCCUCCAGGGCGACCUCCGGGUCAGGACCCUUGAUGGCACUCAGGAGGGCUCCUUUGGCAAGAGGCUGCCUGGUGGGCGGUGGGCCCUUUUCCUGGCGGGGCCGCCUGUAGCUUGUGUCUCCUUGUCAUUCCUUGUGCCUGUUAGCCCCACAGUGAGGCGCGCCUGGACUGCAUCUAGGACAGCAUUGGCCGGAGGCACGGUGGAUGGCACCGGUGUAAGCAGAAGGCCGCGGUGAGGUGCAACCGUUCCCCUUCGUGGACCCGUGGUGGAGGCCGCGCUCAUCCUUGAAAAAGGCGAUCCAGACGUUCCUUUGCAAGGAAACAGCAUCGGGAACUCAGGACAGGGCAAGAUAUCUUGUGGCUUUGUUUUUCGUUCCUUGCAGUUCUUCUCCUUAUGGGAGCUCUUAACGUCAGUACUUGAAGGAGUUGGAACCUCUUCAGGUUGUGCCUUCCUUCCCCUUGUUCUCAGUCCAGUGGUGUGACCCAGGCCGAUGGAGAUUUCAGGGUGUGCCUAAGGGGCUGCUGUGUCGUCCAUUUCCACGUGCCGGGGCGGGUGGGCGAGCACCCGAGGCUCGCCGCCGCCGCCGCCGCCGCCGCCGCCGCCGCUGCCGCCCCCGCGGCCCCCUUCACGCAGCGGUACACCCGGCCACACGGGCACGCCGCCAUGCGCACGCUGAGCAUACUGACACACACUGGCACGGGGACGCGGACACGCACAUUCCCGGGCGGGCUCUCCAAGCGGGACACGCAGCCAGGCCCUUGGGGGUGGCGUGGGUUGGUCACCUGUGGACGGGCCUGCUCAAGCAAGGCCUGUGAACCUGGAGCCUGGCCUGUUUACCCAGAUAGAUGGGGACUCCCACAUUGGAGGAGAGUCGGUGGCCGUCCUCCGCAGAAUGGUGGCCCUGUGUGGGGCCCCGCGACUCGGAGAUGUUUGGUGGUGGCCUUGCCAAGGCCCCUGUGGGAGAGCACGGGCUGGGCUGCCUGCCAUAGAGUCGGUGCUCGUAUUGGACCCUGGCUCCGGAGCUGAGGAAGUCACUCAGAAGCCCCAGGGGCAGCCUGAGAUGGCUGAGCCCGGAAGUUGCCUGGGACUGCCAAGCGCCAUUGGCCGGGCCCGGAACCUCUAAACUGCCUCGGCUCCCGGUCAUACCCUCAUAAGCCAUGCCGCCCAGUGCCUGCAGAACGUGAUCCUGAAGGUUUUUACGGUUUCCCCAGUGGUUCCCUUCCUGGCCUUUUUGAAAAGCCUUCCUGGAUGCCUGAGCCCAUGGGAGUUCCACAGGGGAGGGAAAAUCCACACCCGCAAGGCAGGGAAUUCCAACACUGGGUGGUUAGUAUCUUAAGGACUCUUAGAAAGGAGCAGUCACUGUUUGGGACACUCUUCCAUUCCAGUCAAGCUAUUCCAGGAAGUAGGCCAACCCUUGAAAUUGGCGAGAAAAAGGAAACACACGCGAAAACAAGCAGCAGACACCUUGGAAGGUCCCCACCUUCCUGCCAAGCAGGACCUAAGGUGGAUCUUUCCCAGACACUAAAGGGCAGGGCGCCUCUGGCACUUCCUGGGAGAAAAAGCAGGGAGAAAGAAGGGCGGGGAUCCGGACCAACAAACAAGCGACAGAAUCCCCACUCUGCAGCAUCUGGGGUCAUCUUUGGUUCCUCACAUCUGUCUGGAUGCAGCCCUCCUCCUCCACACCUUUCCCUGUAGUCACCUGUGCUUACUAUCAUGAACUCGGGCGCAUACCUCCACACCUCCACCCACACCCACACCCACACCCACUCUCGCUCUAGCUCUCCCUCUAGCUCUCGCUCUAGCUGUAGCUCUCGCUCUCUUCCCCCCCCCCCCGCCCCUACACUCACAGGCCCGUGCAAACAGGCACACGGGCAGGCGGACGGGCAUACGUGCAUACACAGCUUUAUUCAGGUAGACCGGUCUGGGCAGGCCCCCUCACUGACGGCCCCGACACAGCCAGUCUCUGUGCAAAGGAGGCUCAGUGGGCCCGACAGACGCCCUUCCUUGUUGUUCCCCUUUCCUUCCUCCCUGCCCCUUUCUGUUUGGCCUCCCACUCCUGAGUUGGGCCCUAGAGCAUGGCAAAACAGGCCUCUCUCUGGACAGGGCUCAACCCCUCGCCUAAGUGGCUGAGACUUUGCCUUGGCUGAUGGCUCUUCCCCUAGGAAGCCACGGCUGGCUGGCUCCACAGGUCCAGCUGGGGCGCAGUGCCUUUUGAGGUCACAUUCGUUCUUCUCCUGCACUAGGGUUCCUCCUUUGCUCUCUCUCCGCUUUUGACUCCUUACUUUCGCGUCUUUACUGGCAUUCUUCCUCUGCGCGUGUCCCCACGUUAACCUUUACUGGUGCUAUGGAAGUGAACGUGGCCCCCGUGGAUUGGGGGAGCAAGGGGCAUCGCCUUACGACCAUCCCUUGACCGUCCCUUUAUUGCCGUGGGAGAGACCCCACAGUGAGGCGCGCCUGGACUGCAUCUAGGACAGCAUUGGCCGGAGGCACGGUGGAUGGCACCGGUGUAAGCAGAAGGCCGCGGUGAGGUGCAACCGUUCCCCUUCGUGGACCCGUGGUGGAGGCCGCGCUCAUCCUUGAAAAAGGCGAUCCAGACGUUCCUUUGCAAGGAAACAGCAUCGGGAACUCAGGACAGGGCAAGAUAUCUUGUGGCUUUGUUUUUCGUUCCUUGCAGUUCUUCUCCUUAUGGGAGCUCUUAACGUCAGUACUUGAAGGAGUUGGAACCUCUUCAGGUUGUGCCUUCCUUCCCCUUGUUCUCAGUCCAGUGGUGUGACCCAGGCCGAUGGAGAUUUCAGGGUGUGCCUAAGGGGCUGCUGUGUCGUCCAUUUCCACGUGCCGGGGCGGGUGGGCGAGCACCCGAGGCUCGCCGCCGCCGCCGCCGCCGCCGCCGCCGCCGCUGCCGCCCCCGCGGCCCCCUUCACGCAGCGGUACACCCGGCCACACGGGCACGCCGCCAUGCGCACGCUGAGCAUACUGACACACACUGGCACGGGGACGCGGACACGCACAUUCCCGGGCGGGCUCUCCAAGCGGGACACGCAGCCAGGCCCUUGGGGGUGGCGUGGGUUGGUCACCUGUGGACGGGCCUGCUCAAGCAAGGCCUGUGAACCUGGAGCCUGGCCUGUUUACCCAGAUAGAUGGGGACUCCCACAUUGGAGGAGAGUCGGUGGCCGUCCUCCGCAGAAUGGUGGCCCUGUGUGGGGCCCCGCGACUCGGAGAUGUUUGGUGGUGGCCUUGCCAAGGCCCCUGUGGGAGAGCACGGGCUGGGCUGCCUGCCAUAGAGUCGGUGCUCGUAUUGGACCCUGGCUCCGGAGCUGAGGAAGUCACUCAGAAGCCCCAGGGGCAGCCUGAGAUGGCUGAGCCCGGAAGUUGCCUGGGACUGCCAAGCGCCAUUGGCCGGGCCCGGAACCUCUAAACUGCCUCGGCUCCCGGUCAUACCCUCAUAAGCCAUGCCGCCCAGUGCCUGCAGAACGUGAUCCUGAAGGUUUUUACGGUUUCCCCAGUGGUUCCCUUCCUGGCCUUUUUGAAAAGCCUUCCUGGAUGCCUGAGCCCAUGGGAGUUCCACAGGGGAGGGAAAAUCCACACCCGCAAGGCAGGGAAUUCCAACACUGGGUGGUUAGUAUCUUAAGGACUCUUAGAAAGGAGCAGUCACUGUUUGGGACACUCUUCCAUUCCAGUCAAGCUAUUCCAGGAAGUAGGCCAACCCUUGAAAUUGGCGAGAAAAAGGAAACACACGCGAAAACAAGCAGCAGACACCUUGGAAGGUCCCCACCUUCCUGCCAAGCAGGACCUAAGGUGGAUCUUUCCCAGACACUAAAGGGCAGGGCGCCUCUGGCACUUCCUGGGAGAAAAAGCAGGGAGAAAGAAGGGCGGGGAUCCGGACCAACAAACAAGCGACAGAAUCCCCACUCUGCAGCAUCUGGGGUCAUCUUUGGUUCCUCACAUCUGUCUGGAUGCAGCCCUCCUCCUCCACACCUUUCCCUGUAGUCACCUGUGCUUACUAUCAUGAACUCGGGCGCAUACCUCCACACCUCCACCCACACCCACACCCACACCCACUCUCGCUCUAGCUCUCCCUCUAGCUCUCGCUCUAGCUGUAGCUCUCGCUCUCUUCCCCCCCCCCCCGCCCCUACACUCACAGGCCCGUGCAAACAGGCACACGGGCAGGCGGACGGGCAUACGUGCAUACACAGCUUUAUUCAGGUAGACCGGUCUGGGCAGGCCCCCUCACUGACGGCCCCGACACAGCCAGUCUCUGUGCAAAGGAGGCUCAGUGGGCCCGACAGACGCCCUUCCUUGUUGUUCCCCUUUCCUUCCUCCCUGCCCCUUUCUGUUUGGCCUCCCACUCCUGAGUUGGGCCCUAGAGCAUGGCAAAACAGGCCUCUCUCUGGACAGGGCUCAACCCCUCGCCUAAGUGGCUGAGACUUUGCCUUGGCUGAUGGCUCUUCCCCUAGGAAGCCACGGCUGGCUGGCUCCACAGGUCCAGCUGGGGCGCAGUGCCUUUUGAGGUCACAUUCGUUCUUCUCCUGCACUAGGGUUCCUCCUUUGCUCUCUCUCCGCUUUUGACUCCUUACUUUCGCGUCUUUACUGGCAUUCUUCCUCUGCGCGUGUCCCCACGUUAACCUUUACUGGUGCUAUGGAAGUGAACGUGGCCCCCGUGGAUUGGGGGAGCAAGGGGCAUCGCCUUACGACCAUCCCUUGACCGUCCCUUUAUUGCCGUGGGAGAGACCCCACAGUGAGGCGCGCCUGGACUGCAUCUAGGACAGCAUUGGCCGGAGGCACGGUGGAUGGCACCGGUGUAAGCAGAAGGCCGCGGUGAGGUGCAACCGUUCCCCUUCGUGGACCCGUGGUGGAGGCCGCGCUCAUCCUUGAAAAAGGCGAUCCAGACGUUCCUUUGCAAGGAAACAGCAUCGGGAACUCAGGACAGGGCAAGAUAUCUUGUGGCUUUGUUUUUCGUUCCUUGCAGUUCUUCUCCUUAUGGGAGCUCUUAACGUCAGUACUUGAAGGAGUUGGAACCUCUUCAGGUUGUGCCUUCCUUCCCCUUGUUCUCAGUCCAGUGGUGUGACCCAGGCCGAUGGAGAUUUCAGGGUGUGCCUAAGGGGCUGCUGUGUCGUCCAUUUCCACGUGCCGGGGCGGGUGGGCGAGCACCCGAGGCUCGCCGCCGCCGCCGCCGCCGCCGCCGCCGCCGCUGCCGCCCCCGCGGCCCCCUUCACGCAGCGGUACACCCGGCCACACGGGCACGCCGCCAUGCGCACGCUGAGCAUACUGACACACACUGGCACGGGGACGCGGACACGCACAUUCCCGGGCGGGCUCUCCAAGCGGGACACGCAGCCAGGCCCUUGGGGGUGGCGUGGGUUGGUCACCUGUGGACGGGCCUGCUCAAGCAAGGCCUGUGAACCUGGAGCCUGGCCUGUUUACCCAGAUAGAUGGGGACUCCCACAUUGGAGGAGAGUCGGUGGCCGUCCUCCGCAGAAUGGUGGCCCUGUGUGGGGCCCCGCGACUCGGAGAUGUUUGGUGGUGGCCUUGCCAAGGCCCCUGUGGGAGAGCACGGGCUGGGCUGCCUGCCAUAGAGUCGGUGCUCGUAUUGGACCCUGGCUCCGGAGCUGAGGAAGUCACUCAGAAGCCCCAGGGGCAGCCUGAGAUGGCUGAGCCCGGAAGUUGCCUGGGACUGCCAAGCGCCAUUGGCCGGGCCCGGAACCUCUAAACUGCCUCGGCUCCCGGUCAUACCCUCAUAAGCCAUGCCGCCCAGUGCCUGCAGAACGUGAUCCUGAAGGUUUUUACGGUUUCCCCAGUGGUUCCCUUCCUGGCCUUUUUGAAAAGCCUUCCUGGAUGCCUGAGCCCAUGGGAGUUCCACAGGGGAGGGAAAAUCCACACCCGCAAGGCAGGGAAUUCCAACACUGGGUGGUUAGUAUCUUAAGGACUCUUAGAAAGGAGCAGUCACUGUUUGGGACACUCUUCCAUUCCAGUCAAGCUAUUCCAGGAAGUAGGCCAACCCUUGAAAUUGGCGAGAAAAAGGAAACACACGCGAAAACAAGCAGCAGACACCUUGGAAGGUCCCCACCUUCCUGCCAAGCAGGACCUAAGGUGGAUCUUUCCCAGACACUAAAGGGCAGGGCGCCUCUGGCACUUCCUGGGAGAAAAAGCAGGGAGAAAGAAGGGCGGGGAUCCGGACCAACAAACAAGCGACAGAAUCCCCACUCUGCAGCAUCUGGGGUCAUCUUUGGUUCCUCACAUCUGUCUGGAUGCAGCCCUCCUCCUCCACACCUUUCCCUGUAGUCACCUGUGCUUACUAUCAUGAACUCGGGCGCAUACCUCCACACCUCCACCCACACCCACACCCACACCCACUCUCGCUCUAGCUCUCCCUCUAGCUCUCGCUCUAGCUGUAGCUCUCGCUCUCUUCCCCCCCCCCCCGCCCCUACACUCACAGGCCCGUGCAAACAGGCACACGGGCAGGCGGACGGGCAUACGUGCAUACACAGCUUUAUUCAGGUAGACCGGUCUGGGCAGGCCCCCUCACUGACGGCCCCGACACAGCCAGUCUCUGUGCAAAGGAGGCUCAGUGGGCCCGACAGACGCCCUUCCUUGUUGUUCCCCUUUCCUUCCUCCCUGCCCCUUUCUGUUUGGCCUCCCACUCCUGAGUUGGGCCCUAGAGCAUGGCAAAACAGGCCUCUCUCUGGACAGGGCUCAACCCCUCGCCUAAGUGGCUGAGACUUUGCCUUGGCUGAUGGCUCUUCCCCUAGGAAGCCACGGCUGGCUGGCUCCACAGGUCCAGCUGGGGCGCAGUGCCUUUUGAGGUCACAUUCGUUCUUCUCCUGCACUAGGGUUCCUCCUUUGCUCUCUCUCCGCUUUUGACUCCUUACUUUCGCGUCUUUACUGGCAUUCUUCCUCUGCGCGUGUCCCCACGUUAACCUUUACUGGUGCUAUGGAAGUGAACGUGGCCCCCGUGGAUUGGGGGAGCAAGGGGCAUCGCCUUACGACCAUCCCUUGACCGUCCCUUUAUUGCCGUGGGAGAGACCCCACAGUGAGGCGCGCCUGGACUGCAUCUAGGACAGCAUUGGCCGGAGGCACGGUGGAUGGCACCGGUGUAAGCAGAAGGCCGCGGUGAGGUGCAACCGUUCCCCUUCGUGGACCCGUGGUGGAGGCCGCGCUCAUCCUUGAAAAAGGCGAUCCAGACGUUCCUUUGCAAGGAAACAGCAUCGGGAACUCAGGACAGGGCAAGAUAUCUUGUGGCUUUGUUUUUCGUUCCUUGCAGUUCUUCUCCUUAUGGGAGCUCUUAACGUCAGUACUUGAAGGAGUUGGAACCUCUUCAGGUUGUGCCUUCCUUCCCCUUGUUCUCAGUCCAGUGGUGUGACCCAGGCCGAUGGAGAUUUCAGGGUGUGCCUAAGGGGCUGCUGUGUCGUCCAUUUCCACGUGCCGGGGCGGGUGGGCGAGCACCCGAGGCUCGCCGCCGCCGCCGCCGCCGCCGCCGCCGCCGCUGCCGCCCCCGCGGCCCCCUUCACGCAGCGGUACACCCGGCCACACGGGCACGCCGCCAUGCGCACGCUGAGCAUACUGACACACACUGGCACGGGGACGCGGACACGCACAUUCCCGGGCGGGCUCUCCAAGCGGGACACGCAGCCAGGCCCUUGGGGGUGGCGUGGGUUGGUCACCUGUGGACGGGCCUGCUCAAGCAAGGCCUGUGAACCUGGAGCCUGGCCUGUUUACCCAGAUAGAUGGGGACUCCCACAUUGGAGGAGAGUCGGUGGCCGUCCUCCGCAGAAUGGUGGCCCUGUGUGGGGCCCCGCGACUCGGAGAUGUUUGGUGGUGGCCUUGCCAAGGCCCCUGUGGGAGAGCACGGGCUGGGCUGCCUGCCAUAGAGUCGGUGCUCGUAUUGGACCCUGGCUCCGGAGCUGAGGAAGUCACUCAGAAGCCCCAGGGGCAGCCUGAGAUGGCUGAGCCCGGAAGUUGCCUGGGACUGCCAAGCGCCAUUGGCCGGGCCCGGAACCUCUAAACUGCCUCGGCUCCCGGCUCCCCCUGGCCUCUGGCUUGUCUGCACCACACCUGUCCCUUGGCAGCCAGCUCUCUUCUCCUGAAGCCUCAUGGUUCAGUGGGCCAAAGAAUGGGCCAGAGGGCAGCCAGGCCCCACGGGGGUCCAGAACCUGUUGACCGGUCUUGCAGAACGCGGUCCUGCGGAGGGUCACGAGGCUCUGAGGGCCACCAGCUGCCUCCCUCCGUGGAACCCCGGGCACUGGUUUGUGCCCAGGGGUGGGCGGUCAUACCCUCAUAAGCCAUGCCGCCCAGUGCCUGCAGAACGUGAUCCUGAAGGUUUUUACGGUUUCCCCAGUGGUUCCCUUCCUGGCCUUUUUGAAAAGCCUUCCUGGAUGCCUGAGCCCAUGGGAGUUCCACAGGGGAGGGAAAAUCCACACCCGCAAGGCAGGGAAUUCCAACACUGGGUGGUUAGUAUCUUAAGGACUCUUAGAAAGGAGCAGUCACUGUUUGGGACACUCUUCCAUUCCAGUCAAGCUAUUCCAGGAAGUAGGCCAACCCUUGAAAUUGGCGAGAAAAAGGAAACACACGCGAAAACAAGCAGCAGACACCUUGGAAGGUCCCCACCUUCCUGCCAAGCAGGACCUAAGGUGGAUCUUUCCCAGACACUAAAGGGCAGGGCGCCUCUGGCACUUCCUGGGAGAAAAAGCAGGGAGAAAGAAGGGCGGGGAUCCGGACCAACAAACAAGCGACAGAAUCCCCACUCUGCAGCAUCUGGGGUCAUCUUUGGUUCCUCACAUCUGUCUGGAUGCAGCCCUCCUCCUCCACACCUUUCCCUGUAGUCACCUGUGCUUACUAUCAUGAACUCGGGCGCAUACCUCCACACCUCCACCCACACCCACACCCACACCCACUCUCGCUCUAGCUCUCCCUCUAGCUCUCGCUCUAGCUGUAGCUCUCGCUCUCUUCCCCCCCCCCCCGCCCCUACACUCACAGGCCCGUGCAAACAGGCACACGGGCAGGCGGACGGGCAUACGUGCAUACACAGCUUUAUUCAGGUAGACCGGUCUGGGCAGGCCCCCUCACUGACGGCCCCGACACAGCCAGUCUCUGUGCAAAGGAGGCUCAGUGGGCCCGACAGACGCCCUUCCUUGUUGUUCCCCUUUCCUUCCUCCCUGCCCCUUUCUGUUUGGCCUCCCACUCCUGAGUUGGGCCCUAGAGCAUGGCAAAACAGGCCUCUCUCUGGACAGGGCUCAACCCCUCGCCUAAGUGGCUGAGACUUUGCCUUGGCUGAUGGCUCUUCCCCUAGGAAGCCACGGCUGGCUGGCUCCACAGGUCCAGCUGGGGCGCAGUGCCUUUUGAGGUCACAUUCGUUCUUCUCCUGCACUAGGGUUCCUCCUUUGCUCUCUCUCCGCUUUUGACUCCUUACUUUCGCGUCUUUACUGGCAUUCUUCCUCUGCGCGUGUCCCCACGUUAACCUUUACUGGUGCUAUGGAAGUGAACGUGGCCCCCGUGGAUUGGGGGAGCAAGGGGCAUCGCCUUACGACCAUCCCUUGACCGUCCCUUUAUUGCCGUGGGAGAGACCCCACAGUGAGGCGCGCCUGGACUGCAUCUAGGACAGCAUUGGCCGGAGGCACGGUGGAUGGCACCGGUGUAAGCAGAAGGCCGCGGUGAGGUGCAACCGUUCCCCUUCGUGGACCCGUGGUGGAGGCCGCGCUCAUCCUUGAAAAAGGCGAUCCAGACGUUCCUUUGCAAGGAAACAGCAUCGGGAACUCAGGACAGGGCAAGAUAUCUUGUGGCUUUGUUUUUCGUUCCUUGCAGUUCUUCUCCUUAUGGGAGCUCUUAACGUCAGUACUUGAAGGAGUUGGAACCUCUUCAGGUUGUGCCUUCCUUCCCCUUGUUCUCAGUCCAGUGGUGUGACCCAGGCCGAUGGAGAUUUCAGGGUGUGCCUAAGGGGCUGCUGUGUCGUCCAUUUCCACGUGCCGGGGCGGGUGGGCGAGCACCCGAGGCUCGCCGCCGCCGCCGCCGCCGCCGCCGCCGCCGCUGCCGCCCCCGCGGCCCCCUUCACGCAGCGGUACACCCGGCCACACGGGCACGCCGCCAUGCGCACGCUGAGCAUACUGACACACACUGGCACGGGGACGCGGACACGCACAUUCCCGGGCGGGCUCUCCAAGCGGGACACGCAGCCAGGCCCUUGGGGGUGGCGUGGGUUGGUCACCUGUGGACGGGCCUGCUCAAGCAAGGCCUGUGAACCUGGAGCCUGGCCUGUUUACCCAGAUAGAUGGGGACUCCCACAUUGGAGGAGAGUCGGUGGCCGUCCUCCGCAGAAUGGUGGCCCUGUGUGGGGCCCCGCGACUCGGAGAUGUUUGGUGGUGGCCUUGCCAAGGCCCCUGUGGGAGAGCACGGGCUGGGCUGCCUGCCAUAGAGUCGGUGCUCGUAUUGGACCCUGGCUCCGGAGCUGAGGAAGUCACUCAGAAGCCCCAGGGGCAGCCUGAGAUGGCUGAGCCCGGAAGUUGCCUGGGACUGCCAAGCGCCAUUGGCCGGGCCCGGAACCUCUAAACUGCCUCGGCUCCCGGCUCCCCCUGGCCUCUGGCUUGUCUGCACCACACCUGUCCCUUGGCAGCCAGCUCUCUUCUCCUGAAGCCUCAUGGUUCAGUGGGCCAAAGAAUGGGCCAGAGGGCAGCCAGGCCCCACGGGGGUCCAGAACCUGUUGACCGGUCUUGCAGAACGCGGUCCUGCGGAGGGUCACGAGGCUCUGAGGGCCACCAGCUGCCUCCCUCCGUGGAACCCCGGGCACUGGUUUGUGCCCAGGGGUGGGCGGUGAGCGGUGGGCCUUUUCGGAGAUGGGAUGGGUUACAGAGGUGGGCCUCCCGGAAGGCCACUUGGCAUCUCUGAUGGAGCGCAGUGUGUCCUUCCCCAAAUGCCUCUGUUCACAAGUUCCAGUCGGGGGUCUCUCUGAGCGCCUCGCCCCACUCCCCCACCCCCACCCCCACCCCACCCCACCCCACCCCCGUUGGCUUUGGCGGCCAGGAUCCCUGGUUUCAAUUCUGCACAGGGAGCUCCACCAUAAGACUUGCUGGGUUUUCGUCCAAGGGCCCCUGCGAAUUUUUGCCCUUGGGCAGGGGGUGGGGGUUAGGAGGUCCAUGGAACUGGGGUUGGGGGCCCCCUUCCGUUUUCGAGGGGCAUGUGGCAGAAAGGGGGGCAUGUUUGGGGGCUUGGUUGGGUGUAUAUAGCUCUCUCUGUUCCUCAACCUAAACCGGGAUUGAUGCCGGCCCGGUAUUGGCCCUGGAGAAAGGAAUGAGAUGGGCCCCUGGGAUGGGGGGGGGGGUGGUGGUGGUGGGGGGGGUUGGUUGUGUGUGUGUGUGUGUGUGUGUGUGUGUGUGUGUUUGUGCGCGCGCCUGUGCCAGCUGUUGGGGGGGAGGGGCGGUAGAGGGUGGAGUAGGUUGGGUUAUCAGGUUAUCAGGCAGUCAGUCUUCCAAAACCAGGGAAAUGAGGGCUUUUAAGCCCGAGCAGGUUGGGAUGCAGAGCAAAGCAGUGGUCACCUCCACCUCGGUGUGAUUGUUUAAGGUCAUACCCUCAUAAGCCAUGCCGCCCAGUGCCUGCAGAACGUGAUCCUGAAGGUUUUUACGGUUUCCCCAGUGGUUCCCUUCCUGGCCUUUUUGAAAAGCCUUCCUGGAUGCCUGAGCCCAUGGGAGUUCCACAGGGGAGGGAAAAUCCACACCCGCAAGGCAGGGAAUUCCAACACUGGGUGGUUAGUAUCUUAAGGACUCUUAGAAAGGAGCAGUCACUGUUUGGGACACUCUUCCAUUCCAGUCAAGCUAUUCCAGGAAGUAGGCCAACCCUUGAAAUUGGCGAGAAAAAGGAAACACACGCGAAAACAAGCAGCAGACACCUUGGAAGGUCCCCACCUUCCUGCCAAGCAGGACCUAAGGUGGAUCUUUCCCAGACACUAAAGGGCAGGGCGCCUCUGGCACUUCCUGGGAGAAAAAGCAGGGAGAAAGAAGGGCGGGGAUCCGGACCAACAAACAAGCGACAGAAUCCCCACUCUGCAGCAUCUGGGGUCAUCUUUGGUUCCUCACAUCUGUCUGGAUGCAGCCCUCCUCCUCCACACCUUUCCCUGUAGUCACCUGUGCUUACUAUCAUGAACUCGGGCGCAUACCUCCACACCUCCACCCACACCCACACCCACACCCACUCUCGCUCUAGCUCUCCCUCUAGCUCUCGCUCUAGCUGUAGCUCUCGCUCUCUUCCCCCCCCCCCCGCCCCUACACUCACAGGCCCGUGCAAACAGGCACACGGGCAGGCGGACGGGCAUACGUGCAUACACAGCUUUAUUCAGGUAGACCGGUCUGGGCAGGCCCCCUCACUGACGGCCCCGACACAGCCAGUCUCUGUGCAAAGGAGGCUCAGUGGGCCCGACAGACGCCCUUCCUUGUUGUUCCCCUUUCCUUCCUCCCUGCCCCUUUCUGUUUGGCCUCCCACUCCUGAGUUGGGCCCUAGAGCAUGGCAAAACAGGCCUCUCUCUGGACAGGGCUCAACCCCUCGCCUAAGUGGCUGAGACUUUGCCUUGGCUGAUGGCUCUUCCCCUAGGAAGCCACGGCUGGCUGGCUCCACAGGUCCAGCUGGGGCGCAGUGCCUUUUGAGGUCACAUUCGUUCUUCUCCUGCACUAGGGUUCCUCCUUUGCUCUCUCUCCGCUUUUGACUCCUUACUUUCGCGUCUUUACUGGCAUUCUUCCUCUGCGCGUGUCCCCACGUUAACCUUUACUGGUGCUAUGGAAGUGAACGUGGCCCCCGUGGAUUGGGGGAGCAAGGGGCAUCGCCUUACGACCAUCCCUUGACCGUCCCUUUAUUGCCGUGGGAGAGACCCCACAGUGAGGCGCGCCUGGACUGCAUCUAGGACAGCAUUGGCCGGAGGCACGGUGGAUGGUCAUACCCUCAUAAGCCAUGCCGCCCAGUGCCUGCAGAACGUGAUCCUGAAGGUUUUUACGGUUUCCCCAGUGGUUCCCUUCCUGGCCUUUUUGAAAAGCCUUCCUGGAUGCCUGAGCCCAUGGGAGUUCCACAGGGGAGGGAAAAUCCACACCCGCAAGGCAGGGAAUUCCAACACUGGGUGGUUAGUAUCUUAAGGACUCUUAGAAAGGAGCAGUCACUGUUUGGGACACUCUUCCAUUCCAGUCAAGCUAUUCCAGGAAGUAGGCCAACCCUUGAAAUUGGCGAGAAAAAGGAAACACACGCGAAAACAAGCAGCAGACACCUUGGAAGGUCCCCACCUUCCUGCCAAGCAGGACCUAAGGUGGAUCUUUCCCAGACACUAAAGGGCAGGGCGCCUCUGGCACU